rnacentral:misc_RNA from 1 species
UCCGGUUUGACACCGGCGGUCCCCUUAGAGUCCCCGGCAUAACCCGCUGGUAACUAAGGGUAAAGGUUUCGCUCGUUAAGGGACUUAACCCGACAUCUCACGACACGAGCUGACGACAGCCAUGCAGCACCUGUACUUGUUGUACCCCUUGCGGGGCCUACCCGACUUUCAUCGGGAUAAUCCAAGCAUGUCAAGCCCAGGUAAGGUUCUGCGCGUUGCUUCGAAUUGAACCACAUGCUCCACCGCUUGUGUGAGCCCCCGUCAAUUCCUUUGAGUUUUAGCCUUGCGACCGUACUUCCCAGGCGGUCCACUUAACACUUUUGCUCCGACCGCGAGCGGGUCAAACCGCUCCGCGAUCUAGUGGACAUCGUUUAGGGCCAGGACUAC